rnacentral:rRNA from 1 species
UACAGAGGUCUCAAGCGCUGUUCGGAUUCAUUGGGCGUAAAGGGUGCGUAGGCGGCGCGGUAAGUCGGGUGUGAAAUCUCGGGGCUUAACUCCGAAACUGCAUUCGAUACUGCCGUGCUUGAGGACUGGAGAGGAGACUGGAAUUUACGGUGUAGCGGUGAAAUGCGUAGAUAUCGUAAGGAAGACCAGUGGCGAAGGCGGGUCUCUGGACAGUUCCUGACGCUGAGGCACGAAGGUCAGGGGAGCAAACGGG